rnacentral:misc_RNA from 1 species
UCUCCGUAGGUGAACCUGCGGAGGGAUCAUUACAGAGUUCAUGCCCUAACGGGUAGAACUCCCACCCUAUGUUAUCAUCACUUUGUUGCUUUGGCGGGCCGUCAGGCCUCGGCUUGGCUACCGGCUCUCGCUGGUAAGCGCCCGCCAGAGAACCCCAAACCCUGAAUAUCAGUGUCGUCUGAGUACUAUAUAAUAGUUAAAACUUUCAACAACGGAUCUCUUGGUUCUG